rnacentral:rRNA from 1 species
AACGAACGCUGGCGGCAUGCCUAACACAUGCAAGUCGAACGAGACCUUCGGGCCUAGUGGCGCACGGGUGCGUAACGCGUGGGAACCUGCCUUUAGGUUCGGAAUAACUCAGAGAAAUUUGAGCUAAUACCGGAUGAUGUCUUCGGACCAAAGAUUUAUCGCCUUUAGAUGGGCCCGCGUUGGAUUAGCUAGUUGGUGGGGUAAAGGCCUACCAAGGCGACGAUCCAUAGCUGGUCUGAGAGGAUGAUCAGCCACACUGGGACUGAGACACGGCCCAGACUCCUACGGGAGGCAGCAGUGGGGAAUAUUGGACAAUGGGCGAAAGCCUGAUCCAGCAAUGCCGCGUGAGUGAUGAAGGCCUUAGGGUUGUAAAGCUCUUUUACCCGAGAUGAUAAUGACAGUAUCGGGAGAAUAAGCUCCGGCUAACUCCGUGCCAGCCGCCGCAGUAAAAC